UACGUAGGGUGCAAGCGUUAAUCGGAAUUACUGGGCGUAAAGCGUGCGCAGGCGGUUCUAUAAGACAGAUGUGAAAUCCCCGGGCUCAACCUGGGAACUGCAUUGUGACUGUAGAGCUGGAGUGCGGCAGAGGGGAUGGAAUUCCGCGUGUAGCAGUGAAUGACGUAGAUAUGCGGAGGAACACCGAUGGCGAAGGCAAUCCCUGGCCUGCACUGACGCUCAUGCACGAAAGCGUGGGGAGCAAACAGGAUUGAGACUACC
rnacentral:rRNA from 1 species